rnacentral:rRNA from 1 species
AGUGAAGCGGCAACAGCUCAAAUUUGAAAUCUGGCUUCGGCCCGAGUUGUAAUUUGCAGAGGAUGUUUAUGGUGCAGUACCUUCCGAGUUCCCUGGAACGGGACGCCAGAGAGGGUGAGAGCCCCGUAUGGUUGGAUACUAAACCUGUGUUAAACUCCUUCAACGAGUCGAGUAGUUUGGGAAUGCUGCUCUAAAUGGGAGGUAAAUCUCUUCUAAAGCUAAAUACCGGCCAGAGACCGAUAGCGCACAAGUAGAGUGAUCGAAAGAUGAAAAGCACCUUGAAAAGGGGGUUAAACAGUACGUGAAAUUGUUAAAAGGGAAGCGUUUAUGACCAGACUUGUGCCAUGUGGCUCAUCCGGGGUUCUCCCCGGUGCACUCCAUGUGGCUCAGGCCAACAUCGGUUCUUGUUGGGGGAUAAGAACAGUAGGAACGUGGCCCCUCUUCGGAGGGGUGUUAUAGCCUAUUGUACGAUACCCUGAUGGGGACCGAGGACCGCGCUUCGGCUAGGAUGUUGGCGUAAUGGUCAUUAGCGACCCGUCUUGAAACACGGACCAAGGAGUCGUCCAUUAGAGCGAGCGUUUGGGUGUCAAACCCGCACGCGUAAUGAAAGUGAAAUUAGGUGAGAGCUUCGGCGCAUCAUCGACCGAUCCUGAAGUUUACGGAUGGAUUUGAGUAAGAGUUUUAACGGACGGACCCGAAAGACAGUGAACUAUGCUUGAAUAGGGUGAAGCCAGAGGAAACUCUGGUGGAGGCUCGCAGCGGUUCUGACGUGCAAAUCGAUCGUCAAAUUUGAGCAUGGGGGCGAAAGACUAAUCGAACUGUCUAGUAGCUGGUUACCGCCGAAG